GGAAACCACGGCUAAUACCCCGGAUGUCUAAGCUGUUAGAGGGCUUAGACUAAAGCCCCUGCAAGGGGUGCGCCUCGGGAGGGGCCUGCGGGCUAUCAGCUUGUUGGUGGGGUAAUGGCUUACCAAGGCGAAGACGGCUAGGGGGCGUGAGAGCGCGACCCCCCACAAUGGAACUGAGACACGGUCCAUACUCCUACGGGAGGCAGCAGUGAGGAAUAUUGCGCAAUGGGGGCAACCCUGACGCAGCAACGCCGCGUGGACGAUGAAGGCCUUCGGGUUGUAAAGUCCUUUUCUGAAGGAAGAUAGUGACGGUACUUCAGGAAUAAGUCCCGGCUAACUACGUGCCAGCAGCCGCGGUAAAACGUAGGGGGCGAGCGUUAUCCGGAUUUACUGGGCGUAAAGCGCACGUAGGCGGCAUCGUAAGUUGGACGUGAAAGCUCCCGGCUCAACUGGGAGAGGUCGUUCAAAACUGUGGUGCUUGAGGUUGAUAGAGGAGAGUGGAAUUCCCGGUGUAGUGGUGGAAUGCGUAGAUAUCGGGAGGAACACCAGUGGCGAAGGCGGCUCUCUAGGUCACACCUGACGCUGAGGUGCGAAAGCGUGGGGAGCGAACGGGAUUAGAUACCCCGGUAGUCCACGCUGUAAACGAUGGAUACUAGGUGUGGGAGGUUAUUUACCCCUUCUGUGCCGUAGCUAACGCGUUAAGUAUCCCGCCUGGGGACUACGGCCGCAAGGUUAAAACUCAAAGGAAUUGACGGGGGCCCGCACAAGCAGCGGAGCGUGUGGUUUAAUUCGAUGAUACGCGAAGAACCUUACCUGGGCUUGACAUGGUGGUAGUAGUGAAGCGAAAGCGGAACGACCCUUCGGGGAGCCAUCACAGGUGCUGCAUGGCUGUCGUCAGCUCGUGUCGUGAGAUGUUGGGUUAAGUCCCGCAACGAGCGCAACCCUCGUCGCUAGUUAUAUGUGUCUAGUGAGACUGCCGGUAUCAAACCGGAGGAAGGUGGGGAUGACGUCAAGUCAGCAUGGUCUUUAUGUCCAGGGCUACACACACGCUACAAUGGCCGGUACAAUGGGUUGCCAUACCGCGAGGUGGAGCUAAUCCUCAAAGCCGGUCUCAGUUCGGAUUGCAGUCUGCUACUCGACUGCAUGAAGGUGGAGUUGCUAGUAACCGCGCGUCAGCA
rnacentral:rRNA from 1 species